rnacentral:rRNA from 1 species
UACGAAGGGGGCUAGCGUUGUUCGGAAUUACUGGGCGUAAAGCGCACGUAGGCGGAUUUGUAAGUCAGGGGUGAAAUCCCGGGGCUCAACCUCGGAACUGCCUUUGAUACUGCAAGUCUCGAGUCCGAUAGAGGUGAGUGGAAUUCCUAGUGUAGAGGUGAAAUUCGUAGAUAUUAGGAAGAACACCAGUGGCGAAGGCGGCUCACUGGAUCGGUACUGACGCUGAGGUGCGAAAGCCAGGGGAGCAAACGGG